rnacentral:rRNA from 1 species
GAUGAACGCUGGCGGCGUGCCUAAUACAUGCAAGUCGAGCGAACAGACGAGGAGCUUGCUCCUCUGAUGUUAGCGGCGGACGGGUGAGUAACACGUGGAUAACCUACCUAUAAGACUGGGAUAACUUCGGGAAACCGGAGCUAAUACCGGAUAACAUGUUGAACCGCAUGGUUCAACAGUGAAAGACGGUCUUGCUGUCACUUAUAGAUGGAUCCGCGCCGCAUUAGCUAGUUGGUAAGGUAACGGCUUACCAAGGCAACGAUGCGUAGCCGACCUGAGAGGGUGAUCGGCCACACUGGAACUGAGACACGGUCCAGACUCCUACGGGAGGCAGCAGUAGGGAAUCUUCCGCAAUGGGCGAAAGCCUGACGGAGCAACGCCGCGUGAGUGAAGAAGGUCUUCGGAUCGUAAAACUCUGUUAUUGGGGAAGAACAAAUGUGUAAGUAACUAUGCACGUCUUGACGGUACCUAAUCAGAAAGCCACGGCUAACUACGUG